GCAUGGUGUCCUCCGUUCGUUCGGAGGGUGAAAAGGGAAGGCGGUUAAAAUCCGCCGCAGCCCCCGCUACUGUAAGGGCAGACGCUGACGCGGCCGGAUUAAACGCUCCGCCGCGAAAGAGUCUCAUUCCGCCGCAGCGCUUUUAUGCGCGGUCACUGGCCGCAAAAGGCCGGGAAGACGCGCCGGAAAAACAGCCUGAGCCAGGAGACCUGCCUGCUGA
rnacentral:ncRNA from 1 species